AGUAGUGAAGUAAAAAUUACAUUUAGCUUCGACCUAAAAAUCAGAGAAUGAAUCUCCUUACUU
rnacentral:tRNA from 2 species